rnacentral:lncRNA from 1 species
AUAAAGUAGUAUCAUGAUUCCUGAAGAACACACACCAACAUGCAAAUUAGAUUGCAAGUAAAGAUCAACCUGUAACCAUUGCAGUGAUAGAUACAGAAAAUUAAUCAAGAAAUUCCAAUGUUUAGUAGAUACAACUCUACUGUAGAUUAAAAGUUUACUUCUCAAAUAAUGAUAUAGAUCUGUACCGAAGUGUAGUAUCUUCAACCUUCAAAUCUUACAACAUUGUAAGAGGAGUAUACUGUAAGUUUAAAAGCUAAAUCAUGUCCAGACUUUCAUCUUACAACACCGUUAUGUCACUAGUAGAAAAAGGGUCUUUAGUCCCGGUUCUGGAACCGGGACUAAAGGGUCGGUACUAAAGCCUCCCCCUUUAGUCCCGGUUCUUACUGGAACCGGGACUAAAGGCCCUCCACGUGGCCGCUGCCUGGAGGUCCACCUUUAGUCCCGGUUGGUAACACCAACCGGUACUAAAGGAAAUUUUAUGAUUUUUUUUUAAAAAAAUUAGAAAUAUUUUAACCUCUAAUCUCUAAUCACCCCUCAUCACUGCUCAAUUUAACCUUUAAUCCCUCAUCAUUCCAAAUCAUCUAAAUUCCCGAACGGUCACCCAUCCUCUCACUACACCAGCCUGAGCACGCUUAACUUCCGGGUUCUAUUCUCCCUCGUUUCCAAGUCUGCACUUGUUGUUUUCCUGACAAUAGUAAGAUGUCAAUCCUAUUAACCCUCAGGAAUUUAGCUUGAGCAUGAAGUCACACAUUUCACUGUUUGAGUUUGAAACUAUUGUUCUAAAAAUCAAUAAUUAUUUAGUAACAUUAAUAUUUCUUGAAUAAGUAGUUUGACCACAGUUUGACCCUAGUUUGACCACAGUUUGACCAUAGUUUGACCAGAUUUGACAAAAAUUCAAAAAACUAAAAUAAUUAUUUAGUAACACAAAUAUUUCUUGAAUAAGUAGUUUGACCAUUGUUUGACCACAGUUUGACCAUAGUUGACCAAAAUUCAAAAAAACUAAAAUAAUUAUUUAGUAACACUAAUAUUCUUGAAUAAUUAUUUAGUAACACUAAUACUUCUUGAAUAAGUAGUUUGACCAUAGUUUGACCAGAUUUAACAAAAAAUCAAAAAAACUGAAAUUUGAGCAUAACUUUUUUUCCUUUUAGAAUUUGAGGAUUCUAAAAAAAUUGCAAACAGGCCAUAGGCGGUCUCCAUCAGAUGCGGAUUUUCGUUUUGAACAUUUUGAUAUAUUAUAUGUUUUUUUCCGACAUCGUAUGCAAAAGUUAUAGCCGUUUUACAUUUUCCCUACAUUUUUUGCAAAACAUGUCCAAAUUUAAGUUUUGAAAUUUUCCUAACUAGUAGAUGUAGUAAUAUAACUACCUCUCGAAGGAUUUUAUUUUUUGAAGUUUUUAUCAUUUUCUUUUGNNNNNNNNNNUUUUUUUUCAAUUUUUAAUUUUUCUGAAUUAUUUGGUGAUUUAGUCUCUAAUCACCUUUCUUAACUGCUCAAGUGUGGAUCACUCAUUCCAAAUCAUCUAACAUCCCGACCGGUCACCCAUCCCUCUCACUACUCCAGCCCGAGCACGCUUAACUUUCGGGUUCUAUUCUCCUUCAUUUCCAAGUCUGCACUUGUUGUUUUCCUGACAAUAGUAAGAUGUCAAUCCUAUUAACCCUCAGGAGUUUAGGUUGAGCAUUAAGUCACACAUUUCACUGUUUGAGUUUGAAACUAUUAUUCUAAAAAACAGUAAUUAUUUAGUAACACUAAUAUUUCUUGAAUAAGUUUGACCAUAGUUUGACCACAGUUUGACCAGAUUUGACCAAAAUUCAAAAAAUUGAAAUAAUUAUUUAGUAACACUAAUAUUCUUGAAUAAUUAUGUAGUAACAUUAAUACUUCUUGAAUAAGUAGUUUGACCAGAUUUAACCAAUUUUUUUAAAAAAACUGAAAUUUGACCAUAUCUUUUUUUUCCUUUUGGAAUUUGAGGAUUCUAAAAAAUUGCAAACAUGCCGUAGGUGGUCUCCAUCGGAUGCGGAUUUUCGUGCUGAAUUUUUUGAUAUAUUAUACGUUUUUUUCCGACGUCGUAUGCAAAAGUUAUAGCCGUUUUACAUUUUCCCUACACUUUUUGCAAAACAUGUCCAAAUUUAAGUUUUGAAAUUUUCCUAACUAGUAGAUGUAGUAAUAUAACUACCUCUCGAAGGAUUUUAUUUUUUGAAGUUUUUAUCAUUUUCUUUUGAUUUUUUUCAAANNNNNNNNNNCCGGUUCGUAUCUCAAACCGGGACUAAAGAUCGAGACACAAACUGGGACUAAAGGGCAUCGCACCCUUUAGUCUCGGUUCGUGUCUCAAAUCGGGACUAAAGGGCUCAGGUGAACCGGGACUAAUGCCUUAGCCGCACGAACCGGGACCAAUGCUCACAUUAGUCCUGUUUCAUGACUGAGCCGGGACUAAUGUGAAUAUUGCCCCGUGACCAAAGCCCUGUUUUCUACUAGUGUGUAUGGUCUUGUUAGAGUGUAAGAACUAGACAAGACAUUCAGGAUGUUUUGUCAGAUGGAAAUGGUACGGCCUUGCUCCAGUUUACGCAGCAAUACAAUAGCCUUCCCAAUUUUGUGAAAAAUGAAUUAAUGAGGAAAGCUCUGCAGAACGUACAAUAAAAUAAACUAAAUAACCAUCAUAAAUUCACAUUGUUGGCUGUUAUACACUGUCAGUUGAAGACAACAGACAAGAGCUCAAAAUGUCACCGAAGGCUGCUUAUCUAGUUCACUAUAGUUGGAAUCCACCAUUAUAAGUUGGUACAAUUUAUAUUAAAACUUUGACAUCUUUGUACUGGAGCUUGUUAAUUGUAAAGCUCUUAUCAUUAUUAAGCAAAGAACACGAGCUUGUUAUUUGAUUAUAAUUUGACAUAUUGUAUACGAGCUUGUUGUUCAUACUUUGAUAUCUAGUUAAGCAAAGAACAGCAAACACUUCAACAUAUAGUUUAUUCACGUGAGAUCCAACGCCAUGAAACUAAGUUGUUAAAUAAUCAUAUCAUUUGCGCAAGGCCUAUAAAAGAAGACCUUAAUUAAGUAGGACAUGAACCAGAAUGAUCAGAAUAUCUACACACAUACGUUUUGACUAGUACAAAAUUAGCAAAUAUCCCAAUUUCCUUCCAUGGACAAGACUUCGAGUUAGCUACCCAGUCUGUCUCGAUGGUGUCCCCUUUAUUUCAUCAUUCUUUUCUGGAAAACCUUAUAAGUGGUUAGCUACUCGGUCUGUCUCAAUGGUGUUAACUAUGUACGCAGUUUCAGUUCAAUCAAAAUGGAACCUGGGAGUGGCCCCUGUUUUUCUAAAAUGAACCAAAACAAUGGGGCUUUAGAACAACAGAAAAUAACAUACUUUACAUAUAUUAUUACCUUAAUUUAGGUUCAGUUUAAAUGUCCCGAUGCUCCAAUUUCUCCCUUGGAUUGAAGAUCUAACACAAGGUUACCUUUCUUGUAUUGACAUCUGAAACUGAAAACAAUUUAACACAUCAAUAUGCCUUGUUGAACAUUUAUCUAGUUGCAUUAAGCCUAGCACAUUAAGAAUAAAUUUCUAUACUUCAUAUGUGUGCGACUCUCCUGUUCCUAAAAAAACUCCCAUGUCAGGAUAAUCUUCCUAGUACAACAGCUUGAUGCAUUUCCUUGAAAGAUUAUAUACCAACCAUCAUUAUGAAGUUUCAGAGAUGAACACAAAAUCCUUAAUUUGGUUUGUUAUAAACUAUAACUGAAGGAUAUAAGCAUAAACACAGCAGUCAGUUAGCAUAUGCUAAAUAAUAACGGGAGAGGGAUAAGUGAUAUUCAGAUUCUUCCAUGCUUCUCAAAUUCGAAGGGAUAAGUGAAUGUACCAAAGACUGUAAUUCGUACAGUAGGCAUGUCAACUGAAAACAGAAAUAGAUGAGUACGUAUGGCAGGUAGGAAACAUCAAUUUUAUCCUUCCCUAGAUCACAGGAAGCAAAUAUUAGUUGGGCUCAUAUAACCAGCAACAUGGAGAGACAACAUAACCCUUACGACUGCUCAACCAUGGGAGGCGGAACCUUGCUCAAUUUUCCUUCGCAUCUGCGAGUCGCUUGGGGAUCCUACAAGCCGAGAAUACAAUGUUGGCAGCCAUGUGCUAUAGUGAGGGCGGAUGGGGAAGAGGCCAAGACUGCUGUACGGGGAGGUAAGACAGCCAAAUCAAAACAAAACCUAACUGGAUUACCUCGUUUCAUGCCAGAUCUGGUGGAAGUUAGACGUCAUCCUUGUG